GAUGCAAUGAUGAGUUUAAAAGGGAUAGGCAGUGGACGGAGCUUUGUUUAGAAGCUUCGCCGUGAGCCUUGUCACCAAUAAAAACGACUUCUUCUUCCUCUGAGCUCA